rnacentral:piRNA from 1 species
UGUCACCACUGUCACCAUUUCAACGUCCC